CUACGGGGCGCAGCAGUGGGGAAUAUUGCACAAUGGGCGCAAGCCUGAUGCGGCCAUGCCGCGUGUAUGAAGAAUGCCUUCGGGUUGUAAAGUACUUUCAGCGGGGAGGAAGGGAGUAAAGUUAAUACCUUUGCUCAUUGACGUUACCCGCAGAAGAAGCACCGGCUAACUCCGUGCCAGCAGCCGCGGUAAUACGGAGGGUGCAAGCGUUAAUCGGAAUUACUGGGCGUAAAGCGCACGCAGGCGGUUUGUUAAGUCAGAUGUGAAAUCCCCGGGCUCAACCUGGGAACUGCAUCUGAUACUGGCAAGCUUGAGUCUCGUAGAGGGGGGUAGAAUUCCAGGUGUAGCGGUGAAAUGCGUAGAGAUCUGGAGGAAUACCGGUGGCGAAGGCGGCCCCCUGGACGAAGACUGACGCUCAGGUGCGAAAGCGUGGGGAGCAAACAGGAUUAGAUACCCCAGUAGUC
rnacentral:rRNA from 1 species